rnacentral:rRNA from 1 species
UGCAGUCGAACGAUACUACCGGGCUUGCUCGGUAGGAAAGUGGCGCACGGGUGCGUAACGCGUAUGCAACCUACCUUAAUCAGGGGGAUAGCCCGAAGAAAUUCGGAUUAACACCGCAUAAAAUCACAGUACAGCAUUGUACAAUGAUCAAAUAUUUAUAGGAUUAAGAUGGGCAUGCGUGUCAUUAGUUAGUUGGCGAGGUAACGGCUCACCAAGACCACGAUGACUAGGGGAUCUGAGAGGAUGACCCCCCACACUGGUACUGAGACACGGACCAGACUCCUACGGGAGGCAGCAGUAAGGAAUAUUGGUCAAUGGAGGCAACUCUGAACCAGCCAUGCCGCGUGCAGGAAGACAGCCCUCUGGGUCGUAAACUGCUUUUAUUCGGGAAUAAACCUACUUACGUGUAAGUAGCUGAAUGUACCGAAGGAAUAAGGAUCGGCUAACUCCGUGCCAGCAGCCGCGGUAAUACGGAGGAUCCAAGCGUUAUCCGGAUUUAUUGGGUUUAAAGGGUGCGUAGGCGGCUUAUUAAGUCAGGGGUGAAAGACGGUGGCUCAACCAUCGCAGUGCCCUUGAUACUGAUGAGCUUGAAUACACUAGAGGUAGGCGGAAUGUGACAAGUAGCGGUGAAAUGCAUAGAUAUGUCACAGAACACCGAUUGCGAAGGCAGCUUACUAUGGUGUUAUUGACGCUGAGGCACGAAAGCGUGGGGAUCAAACAGGAUUAGAUACCCUGGUAGUCCACGCCCUAAACGAUGAAUACUCGCUGUUAGCGAUACACAGUUAGCGGCUAAGCGAAAGCGUUAAGUAUUCCACCUGGGGAGUACGCCCGCAAGGGUGAAACUCAAAGGAAUUGACGGGGGCCCGCACAAGCGGAGGAGCAUGUGGUUUAAUUCGAUGAUACGCGAGGAACCUUACCCGGGCUUGAAAGUUAGUGAAUGAUCUAGAGAUAGAUCAGUGAGCAAUCACACGAAACUAGGUGCUGCAUGGCUGUCGUCAGCUCGUGCCGUGAGGUGUUGGGUUAAGUCCCGCAACGAGCGCAACCCCUAUGUUUAGUUGCCAGCACGUUAAGGUGGGGACUCUAAACAGACUGCCUGUGCAAACAGAGAGGAAGGAGGGGACGACGUCAAGUCAUCAUGGCCCUUACGUCCGGGGCUACACACGUGCUACAAUGGAUGGUACAGAGGGCAGCAAGCUGGCAACAGCAAGCAAAUCUCAAAAAGCCAUUCACAGUUCGGAUAGAGGUCUGCAACUCGACCUCUUGAAGUUGGAUUCGCUAGUAAUCGCGUAUCAGCAAUGACGCGGUGAAUACGUUCCCGGGCCUUGUACACACCGCCCGUCAAGCCAUGGAAGUUGGGGGUACCUAAAGUAUGUAACCGCAAGGAGC